GGACCCGUAGCUCAGCUGGUUAGAGCAGCCGACUCAUAAUCGGCAGUGGCUGGGUUCGACUCCCAGCGGGUCCACCA
rnacentral:tRNA from 1 species